CAGGAAGUAGUUUAAAUUAAAAUAUUAAUUUUGGAGAUUAAUGAUAAGAUAUUUUCUUUUUCCUGA
rnacentral:tRNA from 1 species